CUGGUGUGAAUUGCAGAAUCCCGUGAACCAUCGAGUCUUUGAACGCAAGUUGCGCCCGAAGCCAUUAGGCCGAGGGCACGUCUGCCUGGGUGUCACGCAUCGUGUUGCCCUUGACCAAACAUCUUCUUAGGAGAUAUUUCGGUUUAGGGGCGGAUAUUGGCCUCCCGUGCCUUGUUCGCGGUUGGCUCAAAAAUGAGUCUUUGGUGAUGGACAUCGUGACAUCGGUGGUUGUAACAAGACCUUCUUGUGUUGUCACGUAUGCUUGUCACAACAGUUAGCUCAAGGGCCCUUAGACGCCAUAAAAUGUGUGCGUUUCGAUUGUGACCCCAGGUCAGGCGGGACUACCCGCUGAGUUUAAGCAUAU
rnacentral:rRNA from 1 species